AGUGGCGCUCUUUGAUAUAAGCUCUGUAGCUCCGCCCAUGUUUUGGAGCAGAAGGUUAUAGCCUUCCCCCAUUUUGUCAACCGAUCACUGAAAUCAUGUGAAUCUUGCGGGGAUCUCGUAAGGGUAGCAUGCGUUUGUGGGAAGGAUCAAGAUGAAGCAUUCCUUGAGAGGGUACAAGGAACAAAUGUUUUGGAAGAAAUUCUGAGGAUGUC
ensembl:ncRNA C49F8.5 ncRNA